GAGUUUGAUCCUGGCUCAGAUUGAACGCUGGCGGCAUGCCUAACACAUGCAAGUCGAACGGUAACAGAACUAGCUUGCUAGUUGCUGACGAGUGGCGGACGGGUGAGUAAUGUAUAGGAACUUGCCUAAUAGUGGGGGACAACGUGUGGAAACGCACGCUAAUACCGCAUACGCUCUACGGAGGAAAGCGGGGGAUCUUCGGACCUCGUGCUAUUAGAUAGGCCUAUAUUGGAUUAGCUAGUUGGUAAGGUAAGAGCUUACCAAGGCGACGAUCCAUAGCUGGUUUGAGAGAAUGAUCAGCCACACUGGGACUGAGACACGGCCCAGACUCCUACGGGAGGCAGCAGUGGGGAAUAUUGCACAAUGGAGGAAACUCUGAUGCAGCAAUGCCGCGUGUGUGAAGAAGGCCUUCGGGUUGUAAAGCACUUUCAGACGCGAGGAAAAGCUAACUAUUAAUACUAGUUAGCCUUGACGUUAACGUCAGAAGAAGCACCGGCUAACUCCGUGCCAGCAGCCGCGGUAAUACGGAGGGUGCAAGCGUUAAUCGGAAUUACUGGGCGUAAAGCGCGCGUAGGCGGAUAAAUAAGUCAGAUGUGAAAUCCCUGGGCUCAACCUAGGAACUGCAUUUGAUACUGUUUAUCUAGAGUAUGGUAGAGGUGAGUGGAAUUUCAGUGUAGCGGUGAAAUGCGUAGAGAUCUGAAGGAACAUCAGUGGCGAAGGCGACUCACUGGGCCAUCACUGACGCUGAGGUGCGAAAGCGUGGGUAGCAAACAGGAUUAGAUACCCUGGUAGUCCACGCCCUAAACGAUGUCAACUAGGUGUGUGAAGAUUUACUCUUUGCGUAUCGAAGCUAACGCGAUAAGUUGACCGCCUGGGGAGUACGGCCGCAAGGCUAAAACUCAAAUGAAUUUGACGGGGGCCCGCACAAGCGGUGGAGCAUGUGGUUUAAUUUCGAUGCAACGCGAAGAACCUUAAC
rnacentral:rRNA from 1 species